rnacentral:misc_RNA from 1 species
AAGUCGUAACAAGGUUUCCGUAGGUGAACCUGCGGAAGGAUCAUUAACGAAAUCAGCUUUGGCUGUGCGACCUGCACGCCAGAGUCAUUUCUUAACACACCACUGUGCACCUUCGGGUUUAACCGCCCGCCUUUUAAACAUGCCACGAACGUCUAAGAAUGUCUUAUUAUUGUAAUACAAAUACAACUUUCAACAACGGAUCUCUUGGCUCUC